UUGAACUCCUUUAAAUAAUGGAAAUAGAAGCAACUGAUAAAUAUGAUUAAAAUUUAUUAUUUAUUAGAUAAUGAAGAGAGAAGAGCUACUGAUUUUGAACUCCUUUAAAUAAUGGAAAUAUUUUUCUAAUUCUUUAUAUCAGAUUAGUAUAAUGAAGAGCUACUGAUUUUGAAUGCCUUUAAUUGAUGGAAAUAGAAGCAACUAUAAAUAUGAUUACAACAUAAUGAAGAAAGAAGAGCUACUGAUUUUGAACUCCUUUAAAUAAUGGAAAUAUUUUUCUAAUUCUUUAUAUCAGAUUAGUGUAAU